rnacentral:rRNA from 1 species
GUGGGGAAUAUUGGACAAUGGGCGAAAGCCUGAUCCAGCCAUGCCGCGUGUGUGAAGAAGGUCUUCGGAUUGUAAAGCACUUUAAGUUGGGAGGAAGGGCAGUAAGUUAAUACCUUGCUGUUUUGACGUUACCGACAGAAUAAGCACCGGCUAACUUCGUGCCAGCAGCCGCGGUAAUACGAAGGGUGCAAGCGUUAAUCGGAAUUACUGGGCGUAAAGCGCGCGUAGGUGGUUUUGUAAGUUGGAGGUGAAAUCCCCGGGCUCAACCUGGGAACUGCCUCCAAAACUGCAUGACUAGAGUACGGUAGAGGGUAGUGGAAUUUCCUGAGUAGCGGUGAAAUGCGUAGAUAUAGGAAGGAACACCAGUGGCGAAGGCGACUACCUGGACUGAUACUGACACUGAGGUGCGAAAGCGUGGGGAGCAAACAGGAUUAGAAACCCGUGUAGUCC